GUUUUAGUAAUUUAAAUAAAAUAAUGGUUUUGUAAAUCAUAAAUAGGAAAUUUACCUCUAAAACU
rnacentral:tRNA from 1 species